GACAGAGGGGGCAAGCGUUGCUCGGAAUUACUGGGCGUAAAGGGCGCGUAGGCGGGAUGGCAAGUCGGUCGUGAAAUCCUUCGGCUCAACCGAAGAACGUCGAUCGAUACUGCUGUUCUUGAGGGUUGCAGAGGAGACUGGAAUUCCCGGUGUAGCGGUGAAAUGCGCAGAUAUCGGGAGGAACACCAGUGGCGAAGGCGGCGAUCUGGGAAGAGUACUGACGCUGAGGUGCGAAAGCGUGGGGAGCAA
rnacentral:rRNA from 1 species